rnacentral:rRNA from 1 species
UACGUAGGGUGCAAGCGUUAAUCGGAAUUACUGGGCGUAAAGCGUGCGCAGGCGGUUAUGUAAGACAGAUGUGAAAUGCCCGGGCUUACCUGGAACUGCGAUUUGUGACUGCAUGGCUAGAGUUUGGCAGAGGGGGGGUAGAAUUCCACGUGUAGCAGUGAAAUGCGUAGAUAUGUGGAGGAACACCGAUGGCGAAGGCAGUCCCCUGGGUCAAGACUGACGCUCAUGCACGAAAGCGUGGGGAGCAAACAGG